AAUAAUUUACACCGAGCUGUAAUUGCUAACGCCUAUAUUUUCAAAAAUAAGGUCAAGUAAUUAUAAGCCGUAGCAGCUUUUUUUUGUAAAUAGCUUGCUACCAGGGUUAACAAGGAAACACGUUAGCCUCCCACAUUUGGAAAGGUGACAUGUUAA
rnacentral:ncRNA from 1 species